rnacentral:rRNA from 1 species
GACGAACGCUGGCGGCGUGCUUAACACAUGCAAGUCGAGCGGUAAGGCCCUUUCGGGGGUACACGAGCGGCGAACGGGUGAGUAACACGUAGGUAAUUUGCCUUUGGGUGGGGAAUAACAGCCGGAAACGGCUGCUAAUACCGCAUAAUGCAGCGGCUCGACAUCGAGACAGUUGUUAAAGCGGGGGAUCGCAAGACCUCGCGCCUAAAGAGAAGCCUGCGGCAGAUUAGCUAGUUGGAGGGUAAUGGCCUACCAAGGCGACGAUCUGUAACCGGCCUGAGAGGGCGGUCGGUCACACUGACACUGACAUACGGGUCAGACUCCUACGGGAGGCAGCAGUCGGGAAUUUUGGGCAAUGGGCGAAAGCCUGACCCAGCAACGCCGCGUGAAGGAUGAAAUCCCUCGGGAUGUAAACUUCGCAAGAAUGGGAAGAAUAAGUGUGGGCUAAUACCCUUCAUGAUGACGGUACCAUUUGUAAGCUCCGGCUAACUUCGUGCCAGCAGCCG